rnacentral:rRNA from 1 species
GAGGUCAAGCAAAUCCCAUAAAGUUGUUCUCAGUUCGGAUUGUAGUCUGCAACUCGACUACAUGAAGCUGGAAUCGCUAGUAAUCGUAGAUCAGCAUGCUACGGUGAAUACGUUCCCGGGUCUUGUACACACCGCCCGUCACACCACGAGAGUUUGUAACACCCGAAGCCGGUGGAGUAACCUUUUAGGAGCAAGCCGUCGAAGGUGGGACAAAUGAUUGGGGUGAAGUCGUAACAAGGUAGCCGUAUCGGAAGGUGCGGCUGGAUCACCUCCUUU